CUCACGAUCCUCGGUAUUAAUGUGAAUGGUCCGUUGGUCUUCGGACAUCGAGGAUGGUCCGCAGUCCUCGAGAGUUGGGACAGUCUCCUGGCUAUGGCGGCAGCUAGAGUACUGGAGGCAAUGAGCUUUGGCAGAGGCAGCGUUCUGGGUCUGGUCAACAGUAGCAGGAGCUGCUGCAGCAUACUUCCCUCUUUGGUGUUGCGGCCUCGGGGAAAGCUGUGAUGGUUGUGGAGUACGGCAUGUCCCGUAGCUACAUAUGAAAUCAAGAAGCCGUGAUUGGAACAAAAGGACAACUCACAAGAAACACCACAGUAAACAGAAAAGAACAUUUAUGCUAUAUGAAAGAAGAUUGCUGAUUAGUUGGCAAGUGGAAUCUGAUUGACAGAGGUGAACUACAAUGAUGUAUCUGCGACUGAGUGGCAUGGACAACAUGUUCCAUUGAAGGGUCACAAAUGAAGAGCCAGUGAUUCAAAUUACAAACAAUUCAGAACAGAAGACAAUAACACUUAUUUAC